CAUCAUUUGCAGCCCCCACAGCCGCAAUCACUGCAGGAAAGAGACAGAGAUAGGAUCAGAGAGCUGCUUUCCCUAUCAGGCUGGCUCAGCGUGGGACAUGCCCGGACUACUCCCUCUCCCACAGAGGGCUAUUUGGGGUCAUAAAUGAGAAUGCCGCAGACGGGCCCCGGAGGAGCGCUUGGGGAGGGGGAGCGGGAAUUGUGCUGUCAGGGCACUCAGAGGGAGACAAAAAAGAAACUGAGAGUCACUCCCAAGGGAGCCCAUCUGUCGGUCUCUUGGGACUCCCUUGACCACGCGCUCACAGCCUUUGUGCGCUCUGCCAGCGCACGCCCGUCACCCUUUGAACGUUCUACGGAGAACACUCUGGGUCUAUCCAAGUGUUUCUUUUCCAUGGACCUCAAAUACUCACUUUACAGUAUUACACUUUACAUAUCACUUUGAUAUGCAUCCGAAGAAGUGGGCAGUAGCCCACGAAAGCUUAUGCUCUAAUAAAUGUGUUAGUCUCUAA